ensembl:lncRNA
GUGUGUGUUUUGAAGAUAAAGACCCACUGUGGCUCUGAACAGUAGCUCACCUGUUAGAGACCAUUUUUGAGACACUGAAGAAGAGGAGGAGUAAGAGGGAGAGGAGGAGGAAGAAAAAAGGAGGAAGAGGAGGAAAGUGAGACUGUAAAAGAGUGAUGAACAACCUUUAGAUCAACUGAACGCCGAAUUUGUAUUAUUAUAUAAAUGAAUAAUAUUAUUUUGUUUUCUAACCAGGAUCCUGUUUUAUUGUGAAAAUCCCCCUGCUUCCUGUCCCUGUGUGUGUGUCUCCCCUCUGUGUAGUCAGACUAAUUGCCUGGUAUUUAACAUGAAUUGCUGUGUUUGGGUGCUUACGUGUCAAUUAAGUGUCUAUUCAUGUUCCAUCGGCCAUUUAGCCAAUUAGAGGUCGUUAGUGAGCGAUGUCACCGAGCACCAAUCACGUGUUCCGGGAGCCCGAUCGCUAACGAGCUGAUCACUCUUAUUAUGAGGUGUCAUCAUCUCAUCUAAAUAAUUCACUUUUUGAUUUGAUUCUCAUUAAACCCACACAAGUGGGGAAGUAACCAUGAAGAGAGGAGCCCCGGAGAUCAACUCCCUUCUGAUGAUGUCACCAGAGAAGCCCCUUGGGGGGGGAGGGGGGGCUGCGGGGGAUGUUUGUUGUGAUUUUAAUGAAACUGGGUUGAUGAAGAAUCCAUUUCAUUCUGCAGCAGAUUGGGCUCAACGUGGGUCACGUGACGUUGUCAUGUGACCCUCAUGAGACAGUUUGAACCUUUUGAAGUUUCCACUUUGAUUACUACGUCUGUUGUGUCUCUGUGUUACUUUGUGUAGUUUGUUUGUGUGUAGUGUGUGUACCUCUAUGCUGCUGACCCGCCCCUCCUGGAAGGAACAGUCCUGCAGGUUGUUGGUGCAGACGUGACGAUAUUUACACCAAUGACACGGGAACACGCUGCUGACACAGGAAGUACACCUGGGGAGGGUAAAAACGCUUGUUGUCAUGGAGAUGAAAUAUUAUUCCGUCACAAGUCUGAAUAAAAACCUUCAAUCUCAUUCUCUUAUGUCUUAAUAUCGUCUCACUUCCUGUCUGCGUCUCAUUGGUUCCCAUUGAAGACACUAAUCUUCAGUGGUGUGUGUGUGUGUGUGUGUGUGUGUGUUUCUGAGACUGAUGCUCUGAGCUGCUGUUACCAUGGCAACCAGCGAGUCUGCCGCACAGAUUAUGUUACUCCUGCAAAUCUGCUCCCCCAAGGGGGAAGGAGAGGAUACAAGCAGGGAGGAAGCAAGAUGAGAGGAGGAAACAAAGACAAGAAACAAGAGGAGGAUGAAGGGAGAGAGGAAAGGAGGGUGGAUAGGGUAGUAAGGAGUGUAGGAGUGAGGAGAGAGGGGUGCAGGAGUGAGAAGUAAGGAGUGAGGAGGGAGGAGUGAAGAGAGAGGAGUGGAGGAGUGUGGAGUGUAGGAGGGAGGAGUAAGGAGAGAGGAGUGUAGGAGUGAGGAGUGUAGGAGUAAGGAGAGAGGAGUGUAAGAGUGAGGAGUGUAGGAGUAAGGAGAGAGGAGUGUAGGAGGGAGGAGUAAGGAGAGAGGAGUGUAGGAGUAAGGAGUGUAGGAGUAAGGAGAGAGGAGUGUAGGAGAGAGGAGUGGAGUAAGGAGUGUAGGAUUGAGGAGUGUAGGGUAAGGAGUGUAGGAGUAAGGAGAGAGGAGUUGAGGAGAGAGGAGUGCAGGAGUAAGGAGAGAGGAGUGUAGGAGUGAGGAGAGAGGAGUGUAGGAGUAAGGAGAGAGGAGUGCAGGAGUAAGGAGAGAGGAGUGUAGGAGUGAGGAGAGAGGAGUGUAGGAGUAGCCGUGUCAGACUUACGAGUUGAGC